rnacentral:rRNA from 1 species
ACGGGAGGCAGCAGUGGGGAAUAUUGGACAAUGGGGGAAACCCUGAUCCAGCGACGCCGCGUGAGUGAAGAAGUAUUUCGGUAUGUAAAGCUCUAUCAGCAAGGAAGAAAAUGACGGUACUUGACUAAGAAGCUCCGGCUAAAUACGUGUCAGCAGCCGCGGUAGUACGUAUGGAGCAAGCGUUAUCCGGAUUUACUGGGUGUAAAGGGAGCGUAGACGGCAAAGCAAGUCUGAAGUGAAAUCCCGGGGCUCAACCCCGGAACUGCUUUGGAAACUGUUUAGCUAGAGUGCAGGAGAGGUAAGCGGAAUUCCUAGUGUAGCGGUGAAAUGCGUAGAUAUUAGGAGGAACACCAGUGGCGAAGGCGGCUUACUGGACUGUAACUGACGUUGAGGCUCGAAAGCGUGGGGAGCAAACAGGAUUAGAUACCCUGGUA